UCCUCAGUCCUCAGUCCCCUGAGUCCAAGCUCCGAUGAGCCGUCCGUCACCACACAGGACUGUUUCCAGGGGCCCUCGUCUGAGCCACACAGAGUGCUUGCCACCAAUGAGCUCCCCUCUCCAGCCUCUGUUCUCCCUCCUGGCCCCAAACGCCCUGGUUCCUGCCCACAGGUCCUGCAGCUCCUUGAAUAACAGGAACACAUUAACCCUCAACAGAGAAAGUGUGACACAGGUGUGGCUAUCAGACUCCCAAAAUGCAACGCUGUCGUGGCUUAGAAGGUCUAAUUGCACAGGACCUUUGCUCCUGCACCUUCAGGCAAAGCAGUGGCAUCGCGGCCGUCUCAUCCACGCCGUGGAGCAGUGACAGCUGAAAUUAACUUGAAACCCACUACACAGAUCAGUCCACAGGAAAAUACCUGUAUUAUAAGUAUCGAGGACCUUUGCAGAGAGAAGGAAUUCCCAGCCUCUGGUUGACUGAGCUACACACACGAUAGCACCAGAGCUCAAGGGUCCACACUUCUGAGCUGCCUGUCUCUUUCUGGAAGUCUCUAGACAGACUCGGGCUAUAAAUGAUA